UACGAAGGGGGCGAGCGUUGUUCGGAAUCACUGGGCUUAAAGCGUACGUAGGCGGAUUGGCAAGUCAGAAGUGAAAUCCCGGGGCUCAACCCCGGAACUGCUUUUGAAACUGCCUGUCUAGAGUCCCGGAGAGGUUGGCGGAAUUCCGAGUGUAGAGGUGAAAUUCGCAGAUAUUCGGAGGAACACCAGUGGCGUAGGCGGCCAACUGGACGGGAACUGACGCUGAGGUACGAAAGCAUGGGGAGCAAACAGG
rnacentral:misc_RNA from 1 species